rnacentral:rRNA from 1 species
GAUGAACGCUGACAGAAUGCUUAACACAUGCAAGUCAACUGUGGCGGACGGGUGAGUAACGCGUAAAGGACUUGCCUCACGGAUAGGGACAACAUUUGGAAACGAAUGCUAAUACCUGAUACUGUGAGAGAGCUUUGCGUCCCAUUAGCUAGUUGGAGAGGUAACGGCUCACCAAGGCGAUGAUGGGUAGCCGGCCUGAGAGGGUGAUCGGCCACAAGGGGACAGAGACACUGCCGUUACACCUACGGGAGGAAGCAGUGGGGAAUAAUGGACAAUGGACCAAAGUCUGAUCCAGCAAUUCUGUGGGCAGGAUGAAGUUUUCGGAAUGUAAAGUGCUUUCAGUUGGGAAGCGGUACCAACAGAAGAAGUGACGGCGAAAUACGUGCCAGCAGCCGCGGUAAUAC